rnacentral:ncRNA from 2 species
AUUAACCGCUAGGGGUGCUCGGGGCUGAGAGUCCUUCCUUACCGGGAGGACGACCCUUAGGACCUGAACUCGGUAAUGCGAGCGUAGGGAAGCGGCAGUCCAACGGA